rnacentral:rRNA from 1 species
AUUGAACGCUGGCGGCAUGCCUUACACAUGCAAGUCGAACGGCAGCGCGGGGGCAACCUGGCGGCGAGUGGCGAACGGGUGAGUAAUAUAUCGGAACGUACCCUGGAGUGGGGGAUAACGUAGCGAAAGUUACGCUAAUACCGCAUACGAUCUAAGGAUGAAAGCAGGGGACCGCAAGGCCUUGUGCUCCAGGAGCGGCCGAUAUCUGAUUAGCUAGUUGGUGGGGUAAAGGCCUACCAAGGCAUCGAUCAGUAGCUGGUCUGAGAGGACGACCAGCCACACUGGAACUGAGACACGGUCCAGACUCCUACGGGAGGCAGCAGUGGGGAAUUUUGGACAAUGGGCGCAAGCCUGAUCCAGCAAUGCCGCGUGAGUGAAGAAGGCCUUCGGGUUGUAAGCUCUUUUGUUCAGGGAAGAAACGGUUAGUGGCUAAUAUCCAUGGCUAAUGACGGUACCUGAAGAAUAAGCACCGGCUAACUACGUGCCAGCAGCCGCGGUAA